rnacentral:rRNA from 1 species
GCCUACGGGAGGCAGCAGUGAGGAAUAUUGGUCAAUGGUCGGGAGACUGAACCAGCCAAGCCGCGUGAGGGAGGAAGGUACAGAGUAUCGUAAACCUCUUUUGUCAGGGAACAAAGGCGGGGACGUGUCCCCGGAUGAGUGUACCUGAAGAAAAAGCAUCAGCUAACUCCGUGCCAGCAGCCGCGGUAAUACGGAGGAUGCGAGCGUUAUCCGGAUUUAUUGGGUUUAAAGGGUGCGCAGGCGGUCUGUUAAGUCAGCGGUCAAAGCCCGGGGCUCAACCCCGGCCCGCCGUUGAAACUGGCAGG